rnacentral:rRNA from 1 species
UGCCAGCCGCCGCGGUAAUACGUAGGGUGCGAGCGUUAAUCGGAAUUACUGGGCGUAAAGCGUACGUAGGCGGAUCAGAAAGUAAGGGGUGAAAUCCCACGGCUCAACCGUGGAAUUGCGUUUGAAACCACAGGACUUGAGUAAGAUAGAGGUAAGCGGAACUGAUGGUGGAGCGGUGAAAUGCGUUGAUAUCAUCAGGAACACCGGUGGCGAAAGCGGCUUACUGGGUCUUUACUGACGCUGAGGCACGAAAGCUAGGGGAGCGAACGGGAUUAGAUA